CACGACAAGAGGAGGACGCAGCGGAGAGCCGCCCGGGCAGGCGCACCACUGGAGCAACAGCUGCCGGGGGAGGCCGGGCGUUCCGUGGGAAGCUCUCCUCCUGGAAGUCUGCCGGGGAGGGCUCUGCGGAGCCUUUCGGCGCCGUUCGGAAGCGGCUGAGAAGCAGCCAAGGUGAAGAGCCGGGGCUGGCAGCAGCAGAGGGUGGCAGAUGCUGCUCUGAGCACGCCUUUGCGCAGCGGUGCGGGCUCGGUGCCGCCGUACCAAGGACGCGGCCGCCACCUGCUGUCGCCAGCCCGGCCGGGGAGCGCCGAGGAGGCGCAGAAGCCGAGCCGGCCCUGCCCAUCGGCGGCUCCCGCGGGACGGAGCCUUCGUUUCGCAGCUGCGUCACUUCCAGCCUUGUUUGCAGCUCUUACCUCUGAUUUAUUCCUUCGCCGGUUCUGUGAGCUGGCGUGUGGAUGAGCAGCCGGCAGUGACGCUGCGCGGCAUCCUUAUGGCAGUGCCGGCUGCCGUGUGAGAUGGGGACGGAGGGGGACGCCCUGCCGAAGCACCGCACAGCCUCUGUCUGGAAAUGGGGCACUCAGCUGCUCAGCAGCGCUGGCUGCGGCUUUCCCUGCUCCUGCCAUACCCAUUCCUCGGAGCUGGCGUUCCAGCUGGUACGUGGGAGCUCGGAUGAAAUGCAGCCAGGGGGAUGGCUUCAGUGCGCUUUCCAGGGCAGGGCGCCUGCCCGCACUGAAGGAUGGACCUGUUGGAAACGGCUUCGCAACUGAGGCCGCUGCCGCUCAGCCCCUGCUUGCUCAUCUGGGAUGCUCUUCCCCGUGUUUCAUGUUUCUCCUGUCAUCUUAAAUAUACUAAUCCUGUCACAGAGGAAAGUCCUUACUGCUCUGCAGUCUCUUACAUGUGUUAUUUGCUUUCUUAUAAACUCUGUAAUAUCUGGGCACGUGCCUGCUGAUCAAUGUUUAAAUGCCGUGUUUUCCACAUUUUCUGCAAUGGGGAUUUUUUUUCAUUGCCUUCUUUUUAGCAUCUUUGGAAAGGAGUUAAUUCUCAUAAAACAAUAUGAAUACA